GCCGGCUUAGCUCAGUUGGUAGAGCAACUGAUUUGUAAUCAGUAGGUCACGGGUUCGACUCCUGUAGCCGGCA
rnacentral:tRNA from 1 species